rnacentral:sRNA from 1 species
CCGUGGAUUGAAAUCCACGGCUACUUUGUGGUGUCCCUAAAGGGACU